ACCCUCCGGGGGGGGGGGACACCCGCACCUACCGAGGGGAGGAGGGGGAGAAAGGUGCGCAUUAAUACCCAACCCCCCCCCCCGCCUUCCUCCUCCUCCUCCUCCUCUUUUCCCAGCCUCUUCACUGCUGGCAGCAAAUACAUGCGCUGGGAGGUCAGCCUAGGUAACCUCAACAGCAGCCACUGGAAACCCACGGCUGAAAAUCGCAGGCAAAGCGUCCUUCCAAGGGGGAUAAAGUAGACGAUGGCUUCAAGAGAGCUACUUUGGAAGAAAGAGAGGAAAAGUGAGGCAGAAAGUAUGUACUCCCUUUUGUGCGGGUAGCAUGCGGCUUUGCCUGUAAAAAAUAGCCAUCGACAUUUUUUUCGCCAUUAAGCACAGUUAUUCCCAUUUUUUUAAAUCCGCUACGCGAUAUCAGCGCGCCCCUUCCCUCUCGCAGACUUUUUGUACCUUAUGUGACCGCUCACUGAAACCCUUCACUUCGGACACUUCAUUUUACGACUGCAUUAAGGAACUCAGCUCAUUAAAACAUAGCAUAAAAUCA